rnacentral:lncRNA from 1 species
AGAGGGUAGGGGUGAGUGGUCAUAAAGCUCAGGUCAUGACCCUGUAGCCAGCAGCAACUAAGGCUUGGAGUCUCUGCUAGCUAACACUCAAAGGAGCAUACCUAACAAAUGGAUAACAACAAAAGCAUUCAAAGAAUUCCUUGGCACGGGGAGCCCUCUUGUGAGAGGAAAUCCGAUCUAGGAGGGGAAGUUUCUGUUGUAAUGACGGAUGACAUGACAGAGCUGAAGUCGGCUGAGAGACUGUGCCUCCAAAGGUUCCUACAUUGACUUCUUGACUGACAAAUGGCUAGGACUGACUGACACAUGCGAGCAAACCCUUCAGGAGCAGUUCUUUUGUAAAAAUGAGUUAAUGAUGGCUAAGUAGAGAGUAUAACCUCAAACAUCCUUCAGCACCCAACCAUUAACGCUAAGCAACUCCAGGCUGCUCUCUGAGAGGGCAACUGACUGCUUGGAAAUGGUUCCAUCUGUGACAAUUUUUUCUUGCCCCUGAAAUUAUUUUUGUUUUGUUUUGUUUUUUAAAUUGCUCUUCUACAUAGGAAGGGGGCCUGAGUGUCUGUGAUCAAAUAACUGAGUUAGCAGCUUCAUGUUACACAUAUUGUUAGACUGAAGAGAUCUCAAAAAAACUAACAUUUUACAUGCGUAAAAAUUAACAUUUCACUACCAUAACAAAGUUAUCAGGAUGUGGGCAAUUGACUUUGAAAUAUACAUUUUUACUGGAGAGUAUUUAAAUGCUAGAAAGGUAAUUUCCAAGAUUUUAUUUUUCAGUUUUUGAAAAAGUGUAAAGUUAUGCUUCUUAAUGUGAAACUAACCAUCCUAUUCUGGUCUACAAAUAGUUUAAAGUCUAAGCAAUAAGAUCUAAAAGCAGCAUAUACAUGAUGAUGAUAGCAGUGCCUUACAGAAGAGGGUUAUUUUGCCUGUGAUCUAUUCAUGAGCCCUUAAAUGACUAAUGGGACUGAUCUGAGACCAUGAGAUUUUGCCACAAUCCCAGCAUGUUUCCACAUGUGGGAGUUUGGUUUUGA